rnacentral:lncRNA from 1 species
UUGGGCUGAGGCCUCUGUCCCUCCGGCUUCUUUAUGAAGUUCUUGAGGUACCCCCUCUUUAUUAGCCUCUCGAUUUCAGUGAUCAACUGAAAGCAAUUAUUGGUGUCAUGGCCAUGCGUGCGAUGGUACUGACAAUAUUUGUCAGGGUUUCGUUGGUCUGCUUCAGUUCUUAGGGGUCUGGGCCAUUGUAGGAACUCCUUGUCCUGUAUGGCUAUGAGCACUUCGGCUCUUGAAGCAUUGAGCGGGGUCAGCUUCUCUGGGA